rnacentral:rRNA from 1 species
UACGAAGGGGGCUAGCGUUGCUCGGAAUCACUGGGCGUAAAGGGCGCGUAGGCGGCCAUUCAAGUCAGAGGUGAAAGCCCAGGGCUUAACCCUGGAAUUGCCUUUGAUACUGUUUGGCUUGAGACCGGAAGAGGUAAGUGGAACUGCGAGUGUAGAGGUGAAAUUCGUAGAUAUUCGCAAGAACACCAGUGGCGAAGGCGGCUUACUGGUCCGGUUCUGGACGCUGAGGCGCGAAAGCGUGGGGAGCAAACAGG